GGUAAAUAACCGUAAACCUAUUAUCUCCUUAUUGUUACCCUUCGACCAUUUACAUAACGUUUGUACGAAGAGGGGGGACCAUUACUCUGAGCAUCUCUUGGUUGUAGGGAUCUUAGUGACAAUCAUUUUAUUUAUGUCCUUAUUUUGUCCUCCUUCGUAGAGUGGUUGUUGGGAAGGGGGAGAACUAUGCCUCAUACCUGUGUGGUGAUGUUAGGAAAGCCCUGUCCAG